rnacentral:rRNA from 1 species
UACGUAGGGUGCAAGCGUUGUCCGGAAUGAUUGGGCGUAAAGCGUCUGUAGGUGGCUUUUUAAGUCCGCCGUCAAAUCCCAGGGCUCAACCCUGGACAGGCGGUGGAAACUACCAAGCUGGAGUACGGUAGGGGCAGAGGGAAUUUCCGGUGGAGCGGUGAAAUGCGUAGAGAUCGGGAGGAACACCUGUGGCGAAGGCGGCCCCCUGGGCCGCGCCUGACGCUCAUGCACGAAAGCGUGGGGAGCAAACAGG